ensembl:lncRNA
CAUGAGCUGUGGUGUAGGUCACAGAUGCAGCUCAGAUCCUGCGUGGCUGUGGCUGUAGCGUAGGCCGGCAGCUGUAGCUCUGAUUCAGCUCCGACCCGGAGCUUCCAUAUGUUGCAGGUGUGCUAUAAGAAAGAACAAACAAAAAACAACCCCUCCCGCCCACAGAAAUUGUGUGUCUCAAUUUAAGCAGGAGGAGAUUGGGGGUUCUUUUCCUUGGGAGGGAAGGGGUCUUAGCUUUAUAAUCAUUCAGGAAGGAAUGAACGGAUAAUAUGUGACUCUCAGGUGUCAAGUGCAGCUGUCACACUCGUGCGCCUGAAACAUGGCGUUUCUCUAAAUCAAGUCUGGCUCCAGCCCCCGCUGGCCGGUCCUGCUCUGAAGAGCCCACGGCUGACCUCGUGUCACGCAAGACCCGGGACGUUUACAGGGUACCUCUCAAACCGAACAGUUUCUACCAAGAACGUGACAAUCAUCGACCAUCAAAACUGGCUUUAGGCAUGGUCAUCACCGCCAAUCACCCCCUGACGAGUCCUGUCACCUUCUCAGGCCAUCAAAUGACAAACGAGGGUGACCCGUGCUUGGAAACCUAUGGGCACCUGAGCACAUCCUCUAAAAACAGGGCUUUUUCAGCAGCUGUUUAAAAGGAACACACUGAUGAGAGGGUUGUUAGGACUCUAGUUAACGGCAGUAGAGAAAGCUGUGCGUAAAGCCAGCCCGCGGAGGAGAGAUUUUUCUCCUCCACUUGCUCCCCAGCCAACAGCGCUGCUGCUGCCACACUCGCGAGGUUAGAACCAAGCCCUGCCCGGCUGCUCACGGGCCGGCCUCCCUCCUGCUCUCCAGCGCCCGUGGUGCUCUCCACCAGGUCAGCAGUUUGUUUGCUUGCUUGUUUGUUUGUUUGUGUUAAGGCUUUCCAAAACAAAGGCCUAUAGAUUCUGCCCUGUUUGCAAAGGAAGCCCUGGUCUCCGGGAUGCAGAGCAGGUUUGCCCCCUUGAGGGGGUGGGUGCCGAGGAAUUCUUUUUCUUGUGGUCUUUGUUUAACAUCAGGAAUAACACCAGCAACCACAAAAUGACAACUCUGUCAGUGAUCCUGCCAGGCCGAGAGGGGCCUCCCGUUUUCAAGCGACAUUCCGCGUGUUUUCGUAGAGGGUCUUAGCACCAAGGCCACGAGCCCCACGCAGCAUCUCCUUCCUCAACAGGCCUCAGCUCAGGGCCCACGCUGCCGCCAGUUGCCCGUGUCCCCUCCUCCUCAUUGUUCUGAAAUGCAGGCAAGACCUGGUUUCAUUUCAGCCAAAACUUUUCAGCAUAUGUAUUUAAAAGAUAGGGAUUCUUGGGAGUUCCCGUUGUGGCUCAGCAGAAAUGAACCUGAGUAGUAUCCAUAAGGACUUGGGUUCCAUCUCUGGCCUUGCUCAGUGGGUUAAGGAUCUGGCGUUGCUGUGGUGUAGGCUGGCAGCUAUAGCUCUGAUUCGACCCCUAGCCGGGGAACGUCCAUGUGUUGCACCUGUGGCCCUAAAAAAAAAAAAAGCAAAAAAAGGAUAGGGAUUCUUAAAAAACAAAAACACAACCAUGAUACUGUUAUUACCUCUAAAGAAUAACAGUUGUUUAGGAGUUCCCGUCGGCUCCUAGUCGGAUUCUUUAACCACUACACCACGAUGGGAACUCCUGAUGAGUGGCUUUAAAAGAACACUUUAUUUGAAUUAGAAGUCAAACAAGAUUGAGGAGUUCCCAUCAGCAGCAGCUCGGAUUUGAUCCUUGGUCAGGGAAUGUCCGUAUGCCACAGGUACCGCCGGAAAAAAGAAAAAGAGAAAAUAUUCCUUAUCUACUAUUUGGUAACCCAGCGGUAUAGUCCAAUAAGAAAGGCAGGAUAAAUGUUUGAAUAUUUUCCCUUAUCAAUUUUCAAAAUAAUGAUUGGGCUUCCUAGCAUUCUCUAACGGUGAUCAGUGAGUUUUUGUUUGCUUUUUAGUGUCAUGAUAAACUUAGGACUAUUUGGUAUGUUUCAGUCCAUUAUAGUUAUUCUUCCCGAUGCUCUCAGUGCCCAUCUUUGGUCAGUAGAAGCCUCUCAGCUUGGCUUCUGGGUGCCUCCUGGGUGUAGGGUGUAGUGACGUUUCAUCUCAUACAGUGUUUAGAGCUUUUAAUGACCUGUUGUCAGUCUUUUAGUGACCUGAAAUCAGGGCCCAAAGUGGCCUUUUCUAGGGAUGUGUUAUCAAACAAUAAGUGGAGGAAGGACAGGUCGGUUUGUUAGAGACUUGCAGGUCCCCCUCCCCUGUAAGUUCUGCACAGUUUCCCACCACAGUUCUACACAGCGGUGCGCAGACACUAAACUCACUGAGUAAAUGGUGACCAAAGAAAUCUCUAUUGCAAAUCAAAUCAAAACUCCUAUGAGGCACCACCUUACCCCAACCAGAAUGGCCAUCAUCAAAAAGUCUACAAACAAUAAAUGCUGGAGAAGGUGUGGAGAAUAGGGAACCCUCUUAAACAGUUGGUGGGAAUGAAAAUUGGUGCAGCCACUAUGGAAAACAGCAGGGAGGGUCCUCAAAAAACUAAAAAUAGAAUCACCAUACUAUCCAGCAAUUCCACUCCUGGGCAUCUCUCCAGAGGAAGCCGUGACUCAAAAAGAUAUAUGCACCCCGAUGUUCAUUGCACCACUAUAUACGAUAGCCAAAAUGUGGAGGCAACCUAAAUGUCCAACAGAAGAGUGGAUAAAGAAGAUGUGGUACAUAUACACAACAGAAUAUUACUUAGCCAUGAAAAAGAAUGAAAUCAUGGAAUUUGCAGCAACAUAGAUGGGCCUAGAAAUUAUCAUACUAAGUGAAGUUAGAUAGUGAGAAACAAACAUAUGCUAUCACCUAUAUGUAGAAUCUUAAAGGAUGCAAUGAAUUUAUCUGCAGAACAGAAACAGACUUACAGACUUUGAAAAACUUAUGGUUACCAAACAGAACAGGUUGGGAGGGAGGGAUGGGCUGGGGGUUUGGGAUGGAAAUGUUCUAACAUUAGGUUGUGAUGAUGGUUGUACAUCUACAAAUACAAUAAAAUUCAUUAAGUUAAAGAAAAAAUUUUAGGGCAGUUGAUGAGCAACCUAGAGUUCCUAAUCUAGAAGUUAAAAUUGGAGAAUGCAGCUGGACCCUGAGGCCAAAAAGUGUGGGCCUGUUUUUCAGAUCAAAGCAGGUCUUGUCUAUUUGGAAAGCCGUGUGCAAAGAGCCUCUGAAUCAGCUGUUCUGAUCAGUGUGUUAAGUGACUUGUACAUCCCAGAGGCCAAAGGGUUUAUUGGCUGCCUUAAUUUC